GCGUCUGUAGCUCAGUGGAUAGAGCCCUGGUUUCCGAAGCCAGUAGUCGCAGGUUCGAUUCCUGUCAGACGCACCA
rnacentral:tRNA from 1 species